AACCACCCGGUGACACCGAACACAAACCGUGGCUGGGGGAUAUAAGACAUUGGCUACAGAGGCUAGUGAGGGAGGGGAUACAACCGGUCAACUUGGGACAAAAACAUAAAUAAUAAUGGCCAAUAACCAAAAACUAACCAUUUGAACAACAUGCCAAUCAUUUUCCAUGUGAAUUUAAAAAGAAGAAGAAGAAGAACAACGCAACAGAAACAGAAGUACACAGAAGUACAGCACACGAGCGACUUCCCGGGGCCGUGGCGAGUCCCCGGUCAGCUCCACGUUUCAUGGACCUGGUGCCGCACUCACCUUCCGCACAUGGCACCACGAUCAGAGCUCGGUCGACGAACACAGUGUUGGUGAGAUGUUGCGCCACACCAACACUGGAGGGGUCUCGGUACUUAAUGUAGCACACUUUGGACGAGAAAGACAGCGGGGCAUUGCUGCAAACGACAAAAUGCACACGGAACAGGCGGGUUACUUCUUCUACAGCUGCUUCAUUUGAUCGUUUUUUUGUUUUUGUUUGUGGUUUUGGUGUGGACCGUGGAGAGGCCGCGGAUCCACGGCGUUGCCUAUCUACGAAUGCCGGGUGAAGGUCGCUCUUACUCGGGCGGGUAGAGCCGCAGCUCCUCGAUGUCUCCCAGGAAACCGAACAGAGUGCGCAUCUGCUCGCUGCUCACGGCCGACGACAGGUUGGUGACCUGGACCACGGCGGUCCCCGGUAUCCCGCUCAUGGUGCAAAACGAGCAAAUGCGUUCACAAUCGCCACAGGUGAUAUUCGCACAGUAUUUAUUUCUCGCUCACACAGCUCGGUGCUAAUUUACACAGUGCAGCCGCGGCUUCUUUGGGUUUUUAAUGGCGGUCGGUAAACAAGACCUAGGGCGCAAUACUGCCACCUACUGAGCUGGAGGUUAACAACAGUUUAUUGCCAGGAAAGAAAAAACAAACCUCACAGUUUAUUUGAUUCCCUAAUGCAAUAUUAUAUUUUAUCACCGGUGUACUAAUAUUUAUUUGCCUCCUGUCUUUAUCAGACUUGAUGCAAUUCGUCAGAACAAAGUAAGAACUGCACGUUUUAGUGUAAACAAGCCCCAAAUGUACAUAUUUAUCAUUAUAUUAUUAUUUAUUUAAAAAAACACAAAGCUUAUUUAUGUUGAUACUCUUGAUAUUUUGAUGCUCUACACUAUCUAACUUGUUUCACUCUGCCGUCUGAGGCACAUUCACAUAGUGUGGGAGAAACAUACAUUUAGAGAUAAAGAGACCAAUAUUAGGCUACAGUAGAAACCACAAUCAAAAUAAUAUCUACAUUAUUUAACCCAUUAACUCUUCUUCCUCCCACCUGAGCUGCUACUGUUCACUGUGUGUGAAAAAAGUGAGAACGAUCUUUUGACUUGGAGAAAGUCACCUGGUGCAGGCUACAACAAAAAGACAGAGACUGUGAUGUAUGCUGUUGAAUAAACUAGCUGUACACUGUAUCUGUUUACCAGAACACUUCCAGGUCAUAUCACUCACCACCAUUUAUCCUCGUCUGUUCUCAUGUGACUGCACCACCUGAGCUGCUGCCAUGGAUGGAAAGGUCUGUACACACAGAACCUGAACAUCAACCAGAGGUGACUGAGGAAACAGAGCCCUCUUCACCCUCAACAACGCGCCUGCAGCGCCUCCCUGUGGUGACACACGGUAACUGGGCUUUACAUCGCCACCUCCCAGGAUGAACUGCAGUAGUGAGCCUCAGAAGAGAGAGAGAGAGAGCGUGUCUUUCUGUAGUUGAGAGAACUAUAGAGAAAUUUUGCCUCAAAACCAUCGUUGUGAGGAUUAAGACUUGGAUUAUAAUUGGGUUUGGGGUUAGGGUUAGGCAUUUAGUUGUGAUGGUUAAGGUUAGAGUUAGGGGCUAGGGAAUGCAUUAUGUCAAUGAGGGUCCUCACAACUAUAGAGAGAUGUGUGUGUGUGUUGUACACCCUGUACAUGAAACUCUUUGCUGGUCUAUCGCCCAGCACAUUUCACCAGCAACCGCCGCUUAACUCUUCACUGCAAUGCGAGCGAGGUGUGACAGAUCCCAGGCUGGUCUACAGCUGGGACACGGUCAACUUUUUUACUUGUUUGUUCAUCCAUGGUGUCCCUCAUGACAAAGAAACAGGACUUCCUUCUGACCAGAUGUUUACAUCUAGUGACUAAUGCCACUGCUGAAGCACAGUGAAACUUUUUCACUGGUUGAAUAAGGAAGGGUUUUUUUUUUCAGGUUACAAAUAGAUUAACGUAACAAGAAGUUGUGAUAAAAUUAAGUGAAUGCGCUGAACCACGUGUUCUCAACGCAAUUGGUUUCUUGUCACAUUCUUAUUGUUCAAAGAGCAGAUACACAUCUGAGUUGAUGCUGUGAUGCUGUGAUAUUAUUUUAAUCUCUGUGAUGCUGGGUUCACCCAAAAUUCAGAACAUCUGUAGUGGCCAGAUUUCUCCCAAAACGACUUUCUUUGAGGACAUUUCUAACUCAAGGGCCCAAUAAUCCAUUAAUCUUGUACUGUAUGUACUAUAUCUUAUAUUUUAAGUUAUUCCAGGUCGGUUUAACAUUUCAGCUAAAUCUAAGAGGAUGAAAUAAAGAAAGAAUAAGUCUUGUUAAAGAGCAUUAGUUUAUUUUCCACAGGUUACUUCAGAAACAGGUAAUUAUGUACAAAAUCUGGAAUGUUGGAUAAAUGCAUAUCAAUCAACUUACUGUGGCAGUUUCCAGAGAAACCGUGGAGAUACUAGCUAUACAUUAAAAUGGGUGCCUCUGCAUUGCAAUUUAUUGCUGGUUUUACAAUCGCAAGUCACUAAUGCCAUUAAUAACUCAUUCGUCAAUUUUUUUUUUUUUAGAGUAUUUACAAUUUGAUUAGUACGGUCUAAAGUUCAUAGGAGACGGCUAAAUAAAUAAGAACAAAGCGGGAGCAAAGGAAACCAACAUUGAUGAAGAAAAUGUUUUACCUCCCCUAGAUUGUCUACAAUGUCGGACUGUACGUGUCUGCCGUGAAUAUAAAGUGACCAUUACCCCAGAAUGUUUUUUCCCCUCUAUUCAAAGAAAGUCAACAGAGAUCACCAACAAAAUCAAAACAAAUACAAACAGUUCAUCUGUGUAAAAUAGAAUGUUGCGUGAAAAGAAAUGACGUUGUCAAAAUUUACCAAUUUUAAACAGGACGACUAAUUAUUCAAGGGAUACAAAUUUGAAUUUUCUAUCAUUUACUUUACAAACAAUUCAGUGGUCACAAAUGUGCUGCUGGGAUUUACGGAGACAUUGCUUAAUGUGUGAAUUUAAUCAUUUCCAUUUUUUUGGAAACACGUCUCACCGAUUCAUUAUUCACCACUUGAUUUCAUGCAACCGACGGGUACGUGUUCAAACGGACACAUUUUUUCCUUCUGACGCUUCUUUCACAGUCAUUUUGUUUGUUUUCAGACGCAGCUAUGACUGGAUUCUGUUGUUCAACAGUGGGGGGUGAUCACUUUGCACAAAUGAACACCAGCAGUGAUGGUGUUCUGAAGCAUCAGACGGUUAAAAGCUUUGGGCAAAGUGACACAAACAUUCACUUUUACACAAUGCGGAGAAAUAAUUUCUUUUCUUUUUUAGCACUACCAUACAUAUUUACUGUGCAAUUUCUUUACAAAAAAACAAAGUUUAUCUCACGAUAUAAAAAUCAUGUAAAACCAUCAGGGAUUAGUAAAAGGUUGCCUUAAAAAAACAAAAACAAACGCUAUCUGAUGUUUUUCUGAAUAAAAAAAAAAGGCUUUCAAUAUUGCUUUUUAAGCCGUUAUGCUGCAAAUGUACUCAGAAGGUUGUGGACAUGUGGAUAUUGCUUGGGUUCUGGGGUCAGAGGUCCUCCCCUACUCAAACAGUUCAAGGUCUAUGGCACUUGACAACUUGUUUCUCCAAACUCUUUUCUCCGUACAGCAAAAAAAAAAAGGGGGGGGGGGGCAUUGCCCCAAAGUUCAGAAUAAAACGUAUGAUUAAAAACAUCUGUAUAGACACAAAAGGCAAACUGUGGUCUUCUCCCAUGUAAAAAGUAAAACUGCCAGAUGCUGAAACCCCUGUAAAACCAACUCACCUAAUCAGUGGCUGCCUGAAAGAUGAAGCCCUUUAAAAAAUAAAACGUGAAACGUUGACCUCUCCUUAUCCCAAUGUCCUUCUUUUGUUGUCUCCUGCUUUUGCUUUCUGUCCACAAUUUCCUAACUUGCUCUGGUUAACUGGCGUAACCCACAAAUUUCUUUGCUUAACGGAACAGUGUGACAUUGAGGGAAAUGUGUGGAUUCACUGUUUGGUGGAGCAAUGAGAUAAGAUGAGGAGACGGAUUCCACUCUCACAUCUGCCUGUUGAAUAUAACGCUCCAGCCAAGCACCUCGUUGGCUUAGCUUAGUAUAAAGACUGGAAACUGAGGGAAGCUGCUAGCAUUGCUCUGUUCAAAAGUGCUAAAACCUACCUUCCGGUACCGAUGAAGUCCAGUAAUUGUCCUGCUACAUCUAAUGUUUGUGUGUAAAGGCAACUGUUUGCCAUUUUACAGAACGUUAUGGUCAAUAUCUUGACUGAGCCACAAACCAGCGGUGUCUGAAGGAAGUUACAGCUCUUCGCCGAGACAUAGUUUGGCACAUAACCUCUGGUAAAAAAUGUUGUGUAACAUUUUACACUUUGGUUUUUAGUACGUAUUAUACAAAUGAGAUAGAACAUUUUGUUUUUGGACUUGAGGAUGCUGUUAGCCUUUGGCAGAGUCAGGCGAGUGAUAACUGGCUGCUACCUGCAGCUCCAAUCUUCCUGUCGAACGAUCCAUCUGAAAGUGAAUUAGAUCGUUUCCCAAAGUGUCCAAGCUUUUCUAUAAGCAAAACCUUCUGACUGGCAAAGCAGAUUACCUUUGCCAAUUUCCAUUCCAUCUCUCAGUCUCACUAAAGGAUCACAUGAAGAGUGUAUUUCUUCAACAGCUGAAGGCUGCGAUUCUUUUCUAUUGCAAGGGACUUCUUGUUGUGAGGUUAGGUGAAGGUGAAGUGAGCAGUUGAGUUGCAGUGAAGAGAUUUUGUGAUUGACUGAAGACAGGUGUCUGUCAGCUGGAACGUGUUCACAGGUUUACAGGAGCAGGGGGGACUGAUUUUCUCUUCGAUCUCACAAGGAGAAAGAGAGAUCUCCCCCAACUUGAUCUACAUUCGUCUCCACACGAAAAGCACAUAACACUGUCCUCCAUAGAAUAUCGCUCGGCAGCCCCCCCCCUAAAAAAAGGUUUCAACAUCUUAAAUAAAAAGUGUAAAAAAAAAAGGUGAAAUAAAAUAAGAUAGAAAGGCAAAGUGGAGGACAGGAGAGGGAGCCCUGCCCCCCUAGUGGUCAAUUCAUAUCCAUCCGCAGAAAUAAAAAACAAAGUAUGAUAAAGGAUUCAUGAGUUUUUUUGGAUUAAAAAAAAUCAAAAAAAAAAGGG